rnacentral:snRNA from 1 species
UUUAUAUUCUUAUUUUUUUAUU